rnacentral:rRNA from 1 species
CCUACGGGAGGCAGCAGUUGGGAAUCUUGGGCAAUGGGCGCAAGCCUGACCCAGCGACGCCGCGUGGGGGAUGAAGGCCUUCGGGUCGUAAACCCCUGUCAGGAGGGAAGAAGCCCGCAAGGGUGACGGUACCUCCAGAGGAAGCCCCGGCUAACUACGUGCCAGCAGCCGCGGUAAGACGUAGGGGGCAAGCGUUGUCCGGAUUCACUGGGCGUAAAGCGCGUGCAGGCGGCCUGUUAAGUCCCGUGUGAAAGCCUCCGGCUCAACCGGAGGAGGGCGCGGGAUACUGGCGGGCUGGAGGGCGGCAGAGGGUGGUGAAAUUCCCGGUGUAGCGGUGAAAUGCGUAGAUAUCGGGAGGAGCGCCAGUGGCGAAGGCGGCCACCUGGGCCGUCCCUGACGCUGAGACGCGAAAGCGGGGGAAGCAAACAGGAUUAGAUCCCCCUGUAGU